rnacentral:lncRNA from 1 species
CGGCGGCCGCGUGCUUGCCAGGAAGGCCCGGGGCUUGAGGCCCUGGAAGGCCUGGCCCGUUCAGGAGUCCCGGCUGUUUGGGGGAAUGUCCCACGCCCUGUGGGGAUUUGAGCCGUGUCUCCCGGCCGACUUGGGUGUCCCGGUUGGUGUGUGGUCGGGACUGGGAGGGGCUUGGUGCGGGCGGGAACCGCCGGGUAGCGACCACGUCUCGUCAGGGGGUUCGUGCCUGCUGCUGGGCACGGGAACGGCUCCGGGGGGGUCUUACGGGCGCUGAGGGGAUUCCGCAUCAUGGAGAGGUCAAGGGGAGUUGGUGGCCGUCACCCUUCGUCAGGGCAGGGUAGCAUCAGUGCUCCCGUGCUGGGGUUCCUGGAGAGCCGGCUGGCACGGACAGACUCUUGUGAGGGCAAGUGGCUGAUCGUGCGUCGGAUGGGUCCAGCAAAGGAGAGAAAGCUUCGGUGCGCGCGCGCUCGCCAGGGAAAGGGUGACAGCGGGUGGGACCGAGAGGGAGAGAGAGAGAGGGAGAGAACAAAGGAAGAGAGAGGGUUUCCGCAGGGGCGGUGAGUCCUGGCGGAAGUCCUGAGGCAGAGGAGGUGCCAGGGGUUUGGGUUUCCCGGUCGUGUCGGGGGUGUGGCGCAGGUUGCCCCAGUGGGCCUGAAUGUGCCUCCGUGGGGCACCUUGUUGCCGUGUUGGGGGGCGGGGAGCCGGCCUUGGGGAUCCAUCUUUCGGGCCCUGGGACGUGGGAGAAGAAUGCCGGGGCCUCUCUCUGUGCCCCUGGCACGCCUCUGUGCAGGCCGGGCCUGCACCACCCCCCGCGCCCGUCCCCCAGGCAGGGUCCGUGUGGCUGCAGACACCCAGAGAGAGGGGAGGCUGGGGAGGCUGGGGAGCCGUGGCAGCCCGAUGCAGUGCGGGUCUCCAGGUGGAGGGGCCCUGGUCCCCUGGCGCCAGCGUGGCCCUUCCUCCUUGUGGAAACCCUUGUGGUGUGUGUGCUCUCUCGCCCUGACCCAGGAGAGCAGCAUGGCGGACCCCUGAUCUUGUGGCGUGCCACCGCGCGAGGCCGAGGAGCUCCCGCAGACCAGUGGGCGUGGCGUCCUUGUCGCGGCUCUGUGGAGACCUGGCGAUGGAGAGCAGCAUGGCGGACCCCUGAUCUUGUGGCGUGCCACCGCGCGAGGCCGAGGAGCUCCCGCAGACCAGUGGGCGUGGCGUCCUUGUCGCGGCUCUGUGGAGACCUGGCGAUGGAGAGCAGCAUGGCGGACCCCUGAUCUUGUGGCGUGCCACCGCGCGAGGCCGAGAGC